rnacentral:sRNA from 1 species
GCCAAGCGUGGUGGCGCAUGCCUGUAAUCCCAGCAGCUUGGGAGGCUGAGGCAGGAGUAUUGCAAGCUCAAAGCCAGCCUCAGCAAAAGUGAGGUGCCAAGUGACUCAAUGAGACCCUGUCUCUA